rnacentral:rRNA from 1 species
UACGUAGGGACCGAGCGUUGUCCGGAUUCAUUGGGCGUAAAGGGCUCGUAGGCGGUUUGUCACGUCGGGAGUGAAAACUCAGGGCUCAACCCUGAGCGUGCUUCCGAUACGGGCAGACUAGAGGUAUGCAGGGGAGAACGGAAUUCCUGGUGUAGCGGUGAAAUGCGCAGAUAUCAGGAAGAACACCCGUGGCGAAAGCGGCUCUCUGGAACGGUACUGACGCUGAGACGCGAAAGCGUGGGGAGCGAACAGG